CCUACGGGGGGCAGCAGUGAGGAAUAUUGGUCAAUGGACGAGAGUCUGAACCAGCCAAGUAGCGUGAAGGAUGACUGCCCUAUGGGUUGUAAACUUCUUUUAUAUGGGAAUAAAAUGUUCCACGUGUGGGAUUUUGUAUGUACCAUAUGAAUAAGGAUCGGCUAACUCCGUGCCAGCAGCCGCGGUAAUACGGAGGAUCCGAGCGUUAUCCGGAUUUAUUGGGUUUAAAGGGAGCGUAGGUGGAUUGUUAAGUAAGUUGUGAAAGUUUGCGGCUCAACCGUAAAAGUGCAGUUGAAACUGGCAGUCUUGAGUAGAGUAGAGGUGGGCGGAAGUCGUGGUGUAGCGGUGAAAUGCUUAGAUAUCACGAAGAACUCCGAUUGCGAAGGCAGUUCACUGGACUGCAACUGACACUGAGGCUCGAAAGUGUGGGUAUCAAACAGGAUUAGAUACCCUAGUAGU
rnacentral:rRNA from 1 species